rnacentral:rRNA from 1 species
AUUGAACGCUGGCGGCAGGCCUAACACAUGCAAGUCGAGCGGAUGAAGGGAGCUUGCUCCUGGAUUCAGCGGCGGACGGGUGAGUAAUGCCUAGGAAUCUGCCUGGUAGUGGGGGAUAACGUCCGGAAACGGGCGCUAAUACCGCAUACGUCCUGAGGGAGAAAGUGGGGGAUCUUCGGACCUCACGCUAUCAGAUGAGCCUAGGUCGGAUUAGCUAGUUGGUGGGGUAAAGGCCUACCAAGGCGACGAUCCGUAACUGGUCUGAGAGGAUGAUCAGUCACACUGGAACUGAGACACGGUCCAGACUCCUACGGGAGGCAGCGGUGGGGAAUAUUGGACAAUGGGCGAAAGCCUGAUCCAGCCAUGCCGCGUGUGUGAAGAAGGUCUUCGGAUUGUAAAGCACUUUAAGUUGGGAGGAAGGGCAGUAAGUUAAUACCUUGCUGUUUUGACGGUACCAACAGAAUAAGCACCGGCUAACUUCGUG